UGCCUAUGAUGCAUCUUUACUAUUGCACGUAUUAACAGAUCUUCAGUGAUGAGUAUCACUAAUUUCUGAGGCA
rfam:Eutrema salsugineum unplaced genomic scaffold scaffold_5, whole genome shotgun sequence.